CUCCAGGAUGAAUCCUAUUUAUUCAGGGUGGAUGGUGUCUUUAAUGUGUUCUGAGAUUUGGCUUGGUGACCUCAUUCCUUAAAGGCUCAAUCUAUUCGAUCACGGAGUGAAAGAGCUUUGAUGAACAGGUUCAGAAACAUGUGUGCCUGUUACAUCUGGAAGAAGCAGUGUGUUCAGCAAGUAAGAAGUAGACUCCAAGCAGGUUUCCAUGGAUCCUGAAAUAAAAUUACUUGAAGAGUAAAAUUUAAAAAACACAAUAUAUGAGGCCUCACAGCUGACAGGGCAGCCAGGACGGGAUCCUCUCUACCUCCGGCUACAACUAGGAGUGACAGCGGUGGAUCCAUGGCCCUCUCUGCACCUUCCCUGCAAGCGGAGAGCUUGCCUCCAGGGAGUGCUCUAACCCAGGGACUCAGUGAGGUCUGCCAUAUUUUCUCUCCUGGGACUUUCUAAGGUGGGACCAGA